UCAGGAUAUGAGCAGCAUCAGGA
rnacentral:sRNA from 1 species